CUUUCACAGGGUAACCAGAUUACAGACUUGAUGUCGGUGGGCUGGACGGAUGAGAGGCACGAGCCGGGGCCUUCAAGCCUCUCUGCUACAAAAAAUGAUCAGCUCUACAACCACGGUCUUGAUGCCAACAAGAAAGAUUCAGGUACCGUUGGGUUCAAGGUUCUCCAAGGUGGAGUGUGGAGGAAACUCAAAUUUGAGAGGAGGACGAAUGCUUGCGCCCAAGUCCGGCCAAAACAGCGCCUGCCUGAAAGCCCCUGGAUUCAGCAUUUUAUACCACGUGGCUACAACAUGAGUACAGGAGGUGAUGGGACAGAAACUUUGGUAGCUGAUCCGGAAUCGGGUAUCCGGACUAUCCCUGGGAGGACCCCAUUGUCCCAUGGAAGGGAGCUGGGAGCUCACAAGGGAGAAGACAACCUCAAUGAAAAUGCGGGUCUCUGAUCAGAACUUUGCUGAGGACGAGGCACAAGUUGAUGCGGAAUCAAGGAGAUUAAGCACGUACUGCGCCCGAAUGAUCAAGUGA
rnacentral:rRNA from 1 species